rnacentral:rRNA from 1 species
AGUGAACGCUGGCGGUAGGCCUAACACAUGCAAGUCGAACGGCAGCACAGUAAGAGCUUGCUCUUACGGGUGGCGAGUGGCGGACGGGUAAGGAAUACAUCGGAAUCUACUUUUUCGUGGGGGAUAACGUAGGGAAACUUACGCUAAUACCGCAUACGACCUACGGGUGAAAGCAGGGGAUCUUCGGACCUUGCGCGAUUGAAUGAACCGAUGUCGGAUUAGCUAGUUGGCGGGGUAAAGGCCCACCAAGGCGACGAUCCGUAGCUGGUCUGAGAGGAUGAUCAGCCACACUGGAACUGAGACACGGUCCAGACUCCUACGGGAGGCAGCAGUGGGGAAUAUUGGACAAUGGGCGCAAGCCUGAUCCAGCCAUACCGCGUGGGUGAAGAAGGCCUUCGGGUUGUAAAGCCCUUUUGUUGGGAAAGAAAAGCAGCAGGUUAAUACCCCGCUGUUCUGACGGUACCCAAAGAAUAAGCACCGGCUAACUUCGUG